CCUUAAAGAAGCGUUCUUUGCAGUGCUCACACAGAUUGUCUGAUAGAAAGUGAAAAGCAAGGCGUCUUGCGAAGCAGACUGAUACGUCCCCUUCGUCUAGAGGCCCAGGACACCGCCCUUUCACGGCGGUAACAGGGGUUCGAAUCCCCUAGGGGACGCCACUUGCUGGUUUGUGAGUGAAAGUCACCUGCCUUAAUAUCUCAAAACUCAUCUUCGGGUGAUGUUUGAGAUAUUUGCUCUUUAAAAAUCUGGAUCAAGCUGAAAAUUGAAACACUGAACAACGAAAGUUGUUCGUGAGUCUCUCAAAUUUUCGCAACACGAUGAUGAAUCGUAAGAAACAUCUUCGGGUUGUGA
rnacentral:misc_RNA from 1 species